rnacentral:rRNA from 1 species
UACGUAGGGGGCAAGCGUUGUUCGGAAUUACUGGGCGUAAAGGGCGCGUAGGCGGCAUGGCAAGUCAGGAGUGAAAGGCCUGGGCUCAACCGAGGAACUGCUUUUGAUACUGCCAAGCUAGAGUGCGGAAGGGGCAACUGGAAUUCCCAGUGUAGCGGUGAAAUGCGUAGAUAUUGGGAAGAACAUCUGAGGCGAAGGCGGGUUGCUGGGCCGACACUGACGCUGAGGCGCGAAAGCCAGGGGAGCAAACGGG